rnacentral:rRNA from 1 species
CCUACGGGUGGCAGCAGUGAGGAAUAUUGGUCAAUGGGCGGGAGCCUGAACCAGCCAAGUCGCGUGAGGGAAGAAGGUACUGAGUAUUGUAAACCUCUUUUGCCAGGGGACAAAGGCGGCCACGGGUGGCCGUAAGAGGGUACCUGGAGAAAAAGCAUCGGCUAACUCCGUGCCAGCAGCCGCGGUAAUACGGAGGAUGCGAGCGUUAUCCGGAUUUAUUGGGUUUAAAGGGAGCGUAGAUGGGUUGUUAAGUCAGUUGUGAAAGUUUGCGGCUCAACCGUAAAAUUGCAAUUGAUACUGGCAGUCUUGAGUACAGUUGAGGUAGGCGGAAUUCGUGGUGUAGCGGUGAAAUGCUUAGAUAUCACGAAGAACCCCGAUUGCGAAGGCAGCUUACUAAACUGUGACUGACAUUGAUGCUCGAAAGUGUGGGUAUCAAACAGGAUUAGAUACCCCUGUAGUC